rnacentral:tRNA from 3 species
GGCGCCUUGGCGGAGUGGUUACGCAGCGGUCUGCAAAACCGUGUACACGGGUUCGAAUCCCGUAGGUGCCUCCA